UGUAAUGCAAUUUCCUGAACAGACCUAAAAACCAUGUCGAAGAGACUCGAAUCAGAACAGUAUUAUGUUACAUUUGAGAUGUUUAUUGCCGAUGUCAAGAGAAUGUUUGCAAAUGCUCGGACCUAUAACUCCCCUGAGACAAUCUAUUACAAGUGUUCAACCAGGCUUGAAAACUAUUUCUCAAACAAAGUUCAGGCCACUAUUCAACAAACAUCCAAUAAGAAUCCUUAGGUGAGGGCUUGUUUGACCUAAUUUUUCAUCCAGAUCCAGCAGGUCUUCUGUGAUAAAAUGAUGAACAGAGCUCAAGAUGCAGUAAGGUUUUAGAGAAAAAAAUUGCUAAUGUUGUAUCUGUAAAUUAGGGUUUAGAGCUUGUUAAUCUCUCUCUUCAUCUUCUCUGUGCCAAAAUUCUACACUGUAUUUAUUCCUCUCGUUGUAAGUGUUCAAGCUCCAUUUUCGAACUUGGAUUGAAGGAAGUAGAAUGCAAUUGAAAUCGACCAAUUUUAUGCCA